GAGCCAAUGGAGAAGUUCCUGAUGCCCACACCUGCUGGUCUCACCGCUAGGGCCUGGGCAUCACAGGCAGGGGGAAUGGGGAGGGGACGGUAGCGUCAGCCUACACCCACACGCAGUUUCCUGAUAAAAGGUCCUUUGGAAACUUUGAUUCUCUUCUCACCAAGUUGAACGGAGAUGUGUUCCCAUAGUAAGAGUGAGGCCCCUGCAUUUGCUGCCCUCGGUUUUCCCAACUAACACCAGGGCCUCCCCCCUGUACCCCAUUCAUAUGCCUCAGAAGCUGACAAUGACUGUUGGGCUUUUCCAAUGAAUACCAGAACACCAUUUCCUGCAGCCUGAAAAGAAGACAGUAUAAUUGUUUGGCAGCAAGAGAAUCCAGGUGCCCUUCCAUGAGAAGCCCAAGCCAUGUGGAGAAGCCACGUCUAGGGACUCCAGUUAACACUCUCAGCUGAGUCCCCAGCUGACAGUCAGCAUCAACUGCCAGCCACCUCUGUCUAAAAGUGGGCUAUCUUGGGCAUCCAGCCCAGUCAAGCCUUCAGAUGAGUCCAGUCCCAGCCACUAUCUCACACAACCACACGAGAGACAUCAAGAACUCCCAGUGGAGUCCAGUCAGCCCAUGGAACUGCAAGAGACAGGAUCUCGCUGCGUUGCUCAGACUGGUCUCGAACUCCUGGGCUUAAGGGAUUCUCCUGCCUCAAUCACAGCCUCCCAAGUAGCUGAGAUUAAAAGUGCUCACCACCGUGCCAGCGAGUUCAGUUUUUGAGAUAAGGGGAAAUUGGAGCUCAGAGAUUUAAGCCACCUGCCAGAGGUCACAUGGCCCAUAAAAGUGUCCUCCGACACUGACUCUGUGCUUGGCCCUGUGACUUGCUUUGGCCAAUGGUACAGCAGCAAACUUGAUGCAAACACAACUUGAAAAAGAAGAGGACAGCCAAGUCAUCCCAGCCAAGGCCACCCUGGACCAGCCAGCCUCUUGCCAAGCUGCCAGUGACCACAGAGUCCAAUUAACAACAGCCAGUCCUGGCCCAGGGUGGAGCCAAGACUCUGAGGAGAGGGCUGAACUGUGAACCUAGAAGUACCAUCUCCCCCUGCACACACCUUUGGUCAAGUUGACCCCAAGAAGAAGGACAAGUCCUCUGCACGGCGAUGAGGCCAUACACACAGUCUGUGGCCCGGCUUUGGGAGACUGAUGGGACAAAGGAUGUUUUGCACGAUCCUUGGUCUCUGAGCAAAUAUAUACAUGGGUUAACACAAA
ensembl:lncRNA novel transcript